UACGUAGGGUGCGAGCGUUAAUCGGAAUUACUGGGCGUAAAGCGUGCGCAGGCGGUUUUGUAAGCCAGAUGUGAAAUCCCCGGGCUUAACCUGGGAAUGGCAUUUGGGACUGCAAGGCUCGAGUGCGGCAGAGGAGACUGGAAUUCCUGGUGUAGCAGUGAAAUGCGUAGAUAUCAGGAGGAACACCGAUGGCGAAGGCAGGUCUCUGGGCUGACACUGACGCCCAUGCACGAAAGCGUGGGGAGCAAACAGG
rnacentral:rRNA from 1 species